CAGGCUCUGAGCCAUCAGCCCAGAGCCCGACGCGGGGCUCGAACUCACGGACCGCGAGAUCGUGACCUGGCUGAAGUCGGACGCUUAACCGACUGCGCCACCCAGGCGCCCCUACCUUUGCUUUUCUUACCUCGCCUCGUCUUUAUCUCAUGUAGGUGUAUCUUGCUUUCUACAACACACGGGUUCUUCCAAACGUUGCCUGUGAAGCGAGAUUUCCACAUCAAAUCACGCUAUAAAGUGCACCUUCCCUCCCCCUAGGGGAGUUUGCUCUUUAGGCCCCGAAGUUUGUAGCGCUGGAGUUUGAAAGGGGCUUUACAUAUUUCCUUUGAUCCUCGGAAGAGUCCCGGUGAUGGCAGGGAGGGCUGAGAAGUGACCCCAGAGAGCUACACCUUCUGCCUCUCGUCUGCUUUUUGGUGGGAAGUCUCUGUCUCUCUCACCUGAUCACUGAAUUCCUCGUGAGAUGAAACGCUCAGCUGGGAGACUGGAUCGCUUAGUUCUAUUUGGUGUUUUCCAAAGCAUGUUCCGCAGACCAUUGGUGCUGAGAAAUCUCUGUGAUGAAAGGUUCCUUGAUCAAACCAGUUUGGGAAAUGCUGCGUACGGUCCCUUCCCCUUGGAGACUUGCCACGCACAUGAGCCCACGAAAAGCUCUGGGAAGCCCUGCUAUAGAAACCUGCUUAAUUCUGCCUUUUCUGAAACUUCUUUGGCUAUAGAAUCCUUUAUUUCUGGUAACACCUGUCGCGUGGAACAGUGGGAAUGUUGGUCUGGUUUAUUGUCUGUGUUAUUCUGGAUUUCUCACGUCUCGAGUUUAAGCGACGCCCACUCCCCUCGCUGGGCUUCUCUCCCUCGCUCCCUUGGGCACCCUCGUACGACCGCAGGGCAGAGGCUGUAGCUGUUUUCUCUGGCUCCUUUAGAAGGGGCUCACCGUGGAGCUGGACAGAGUGACCUGGAAGAGGUCAGGAGACUUAAGAUGGACGGCAGGCCAGUGGAGAGUCUUCCUCCUACUUGACAUCAGUCCCUGGAAAACCCUGGUCUCCGCCUCUGACCAGAGGCAGCCUCAAGUGUCUGUGCAUGCUUUGCCGAAAAGCAUAGCGAGAUUCAGGUCCCAGCUGCUGCCCUCCGGAAGAACAAGCUGCUCACCUCUAAGACUGUGCCUGUCCCCUUGGACAAUGACCCAGGGCCGGGACUGUGACCCCUCUUUGGGCACUUCCUCUGUGUCGAAUGUGUGAAUGAUUCAUCCUGAAAACACAGUGCCCACUUCCUGCCCGAA